ACUUUAUUUGAAUCAUAUCUUAGGUCAUGAUUGGUUAGGAAUUGGAGUACGAGCCUAAGUUUCACACAUUAGGUGGUGGUUGGUUCUUGUUCGUGUGAAUCAUCUAUAAGGAAGAAGGAGUGCUAUAUAAAAAGUCAACUCAGUCGAAGGAACCAUUCUCUCGUCUUCAAAGACAGAAACAGAGAUAUUGGGAGUAUGAAUCUGAAAAUGGCGUCACUUUUUCCAUCGAAAAAGCUCUCUCCUUUUGUUAAUUUUUCAGUGUUUGAUAUACGUCAAGCCGGCGGAUGUAAAGUGACGAAUUCAUUCAACAAUCUGGGCAAUGGCACUCAGAACUUUGCUAAUGCCAAAAUCAUGCUUACUGGAUGCUGUUGCUGUUGCUGUACCGAAUUUGAGUUGCAUGGUACUGUAUCUCCCAAUCGGACGUCCACAAAAUCCCCUCCACUUCUAAAUCACCGUACGCCAACUACGUUUUUAGAUUCUCCAUAACUUUCCGUUGUAGACGACAAAGACACUCCUGCAACGGAAGCUUCUUCCACCACCGGGUCCAAAUUCGGUGAUGUCUUUCACCAGGCCUCAAGUGUGUAUGGGGAACAGAAUCUUCAUAUGUUCUUACGAGCUGGUGCUGUAAUUCACUUACGUUGAAGCUAUACGCAUGAUACAAAGAAAUUAAGGAUAAAAGUUAGAAACAAACCAAGUUCUCUUGGGUCUUAACAGAUGAGGUUCUUAAGGAUUUGGCCACUUAAUUUCCACGUUUGCGAAAGGUUCAAAAGAAGACAGUCCCCAUUUGGAUACUAUACGGUGGGGGAAUUUCUAAUUUUGAACUGGAUUGCACUCUCCUCAGACUCCCUGGAGCUGUUUUGUGCCAGUUAAAGUUUGAUCCUCAAGUAACUAAAAAUUCAGUUCUUAAUGCUUAUGCUCAACGUAGUACAUUAAGUAAUUCACCUGUAAGUACUUUCUUCCACCUUAAACUCCUUAAUCUCUUAUCUCAGACAUAACAACUGAUUGGCACCUUGGUCGUGUGAACCAAUGAAGUUCUCUUUACUGUGAACCAGUUAUGCAUUUGACUCAUUGUCUGUUUUAGUAUAUACCUGAAAAUCCAGGUUGCUACACACAAUAUAUAAGAUUUAUGGAAUAGAAGGUGUUUGAUAGUUCUUCCUUUAUUAAGGCAUUAUGCGUGAGUGGUUUAGGUUGUGGUAUGAUCGUUUCCCUUAUGAAUUUCUUUUUCCUCCAUUCCCGUGGUAAUGGUCAAGAUAGUUCUGUUUUCCCCUGCAUUACUUUUCUUUAAGUAUUGUCUCGAUCGAGAGUACUCACUUGCUAAUCGUUUUAUAUUUGAUGUUUCAGGAAGCCAAAGUAUCGGAGAAGGUGGCAUAGUAAACUCAUUCAACAAGGAAAGGGACGGCACGCAAAACUUGUUCAAUGCAACAAUCAAAAUUGGAGGCAAAGCGGGUAUGAUAGCAAGCUCGUUCAACAACAAGGGUGACGGCAUCCAGAACUUCAGCAAUGCCACAAUCAUAAUCAUCACCGGCUGUUGUUGUCGCUCACUUUAUUUCCAUGGUAUCAUAUUUUCCUGUUUCUUCCUUAGAGCCCUUCUUGCACUACUGCUUCUCCUAACCAGAGAUCAGCAUCCGGCAACGAUAUUGGAUUCGACUCGGUCCAAUGCUGAUGUCAAAUUCCCUUCAAAGGGAACCUCCACUCGCCAAUACUACUCCGUCGUCAUUCUCCAUUAUCGCGUCUGCUACCAUGUCUUUGUCUUCUGCAAUGGAACAUUCGUUCAUCACAAGAUCCGAUUUUCGCGAGAUCUUUGAAGGCAAAGUAUUGUAAACUCAUUCAACAAUGAAGGCAGUGGGUUACAGGACUUGAGCAAUUCAAUAAUCACAGUUGGAAGCUGUAGCUGUAUCUCAACUUCUGUGCGACUGAAGAAGACUCAUCAAACUGGUUUGGUGAAACAAAAAUAUUGAAACUUGAAAGAGGCCAUAAUGUUUCCAAACAAGUUCUUGACUGAAUAACCCUUUGGAAAACUAAAUAAGUAGCCAUUAGCCAAUAGAUUGUUGAUUGUUGAUUGCGUUUGAACUUGGUAAUUGAGUGGUUCCCCAGAAGAAAGGACCAAUUUGUAUUUUGAUCAUGUAAAUAUGGACAACCUUGGUUGAUUCCACUACUUCUUUGGUCUGCUGAGUGCUUCUGCCACAAUGGUUUGUUGUCAAAGUCAAUUAUCGAAUACUAUUCUUGUGCUCUUCAAGUUGGGUUACAUAUUUACUAAAUUGUAUGUUUUAAAAAAAA